CUACGGGUGGCAGCAGUGGGGAAUAUUGGACAAUGGGCGAAAGCCUGAUCCAGCAAUGCCGCGUGAGUGAUGAAGGCCUUAGGGUUGUAAAGCUCUUUUACCCGGGAUGAUAAUGACAGUACCGGGAGAAUAAGCUCCGGCUAACUCCGUGCCAGCAGCCGCGGUAAUACGGAGGGAGCUAGCGUUGUUCGGAAUUACUGGGCGUAAAGCGCACGUAGGCGGCUUUGUAAGUUAGCGGUGAAAGCCUGGAGCUCAACUCCAGAAUUGCCUUUAAGACUGCAUCGCUCGAAUCCAGGAGAGGUCAGUGGAAUUCCGAGUGUAGAGGUGAAAUUCGUAGAUAUUCGGAAGAACACCAGUGGCGAAGGCGGCUGACUGGACUGGUAUUGACGCUGAGGUGCGAAAGCGUGGGGAGCAAACAGGAUUAGAUACCCCAGUAGUC
rnacentral:rRNA from 1 species